CAUUAGUAUUCUAGUGGGCAUCGCCUGUUCGAGCGUCAUUU
rnacentral:rRNA from 1 species